CCUACGGGUGGCAGCAGUGAGGAAUAUUGGUCAAUGGGCGAGAGCCUGAACCAGCCAAGUAGCGUGAAGGAUGACUGCCCUACGGUUUGUAAACUUCUUUUAUAAAGGAAUAAAGUGAGGCACGUGUGCCUUUUCGUCUGUACUUUAUGAAUAAAGAUCGGCUAACUCCGUGCCAGCCGCCGCGGUAAUACGGAGGAUGCGAGCGUUAUCCGGAUUUAUUGGGUUUAAAGGUUGCGUAGGUUGUGUUUUAAGUCAGCUGUGAAAGUUUGUGGCUCAACCAGGAAGUUGCCGUUGAGACUGAAAGAUUGGGGUGGGUUGAGGUAGGCGGAAUGCGUGGUGUAGCGGUGAAAUGCAGAGAUAGCACGCAGAACUCCGAUUGCGAAGGCAGCUUACU
rnacentral:rRNA from 1 species